rnacentral:rRNA from 1 species
UACGAAGGGGGCUAGCGUUGUUCGGAAUUACUGGGCGUAAAGGGCGCGUAGGCGGCGUGUCAAGUCAGGCGUGAAAGCCCCGGGCUCAACCUGGGAACCGCGCUUGAGACUGGCAUGCUCGGGUUCGGGAGAGGAUGGUGGAAUUCCCAGUGUAGAGGUGAAAUUCGUAGAUAUUGGGAAGAACACCGGAUGGCGAAGGCGCAGCUCUGGACCGCAACACUGACGCUGAGGCGCGAAAGCGUGGGGAGCAAACAGG